UACAGAGGUGGCAAGCGUUGUUCGGAAUUACUGGGCGUAAAGCGCACGCAGGUGGCUGAGAAAGUCGAUUGUGAAAGCCCUGGGCUUAACCUGGGAAUUGCAGUCGAAACUACUCGGCUAGAGUAUGGGAGAGGGUAGUGGAAUUCCCGGUGUAGCGGUGAAAUGCGUAGAUAUCGGGAGGAACAUCAGUGGCGAAGGCGGCUACCUGGACCGACACUGACGCUGAGGCGCGAAAGCCAGGGGAGCAAACGGG
rnacentral:rRNA from 1 species